ensembl:lncRNA
GAAUGAAAUCCUGUAGAGAUGCCCAGAGGAGGGGCAUGCCCAGGGAUGGCAGAGGGAAGGACGAGUCAGACGGAGAGAUUUUUCUCUGUUCAAACUCCCUGCUCCCAUUAGUUCCCCCAAACCAAUCACAGGGCUAACAGAUGUGGAAUUCCCUCCUGCCGGGAAGGGCGCUUUCUCUGCUCUAGAAGAGUGGAAGGGUAAGUUUCCCCGAAGUGGGACCCUCCUGGGGGUGCUGGAUUGGCAGGGUUGCUGAGUGGCCAGGCUGAUUUCAAUCCACCGAGCAGAGCGCAGGGUGAGGAGAGAGGAUGGGUGAGGGAGAUGGAGAUGGGAGAAGUGAAGCAGAAGAGGCUGCUGGCCACUGAGGCUAAGAGCAGUCAGCCAUGAGAAACGGGCUCUUUAGGACCCAGGCUGAGUCAUUUGAGGUCAUACUGGCACCGAUGUUCCUGCACACAUGACUUCUGGAAACAAGACUGGGAGGGAAACAGGAAAACUAUCAUCAAAUGGAUAUGUGAUCUGUUACACAAGCCAGGCAUGGUGACAUGAUGACAUCUGUGUUCUUAGCCCUUGGGAGGCAGAGGCAGAGGCAGAGGCAGAGGCAGAGGCAGAGGCAGAGGCAGAGGCAGAGGCAGAGGCAGAGGCAGAGGCAGAGGCAGAGGCAGAGGCCUGAUGCACGUUUAAGGACAGCCUGGUGGUCUACCUAAUGAGUACCAGGACAGCCUAGGCCACAUACAAACCUGCCUCAAACAAACGCCACUAAAGAGAAGACAUGUCCUGAUAACAGGCAGGCAUUAGCCAUAGCUCGUGUCAUUGUAAACCCCGCCUCCACCCCAGACGUCACAAUCACACGGAAUAAACUGUCCAAUUAUGAUGUAUCUUUUGGCCUAUAAAGAAUAUGUUAUUUCCUUACUUUGACAUGGCUAUUCAAAUGAAGGAUCCCUGUAUCCUCAUAAAGUUUUUUCUUUUUUCUUUUACUUGAGACUGAGCUUCACUAUGUAUCCCUGGCUAAUUUGGAAUUCACUGUGAAGACGCCCCUGGCCUUGGCCUGAGAAUGCUGGGAUUACGAGCAUGCGUGAUCAUGCCUGCUCCUUCUGAACUUAAUUUUUAAAAUCGAAGCUCAGACUCGGUAGCCCAGCACACAUGAAGCCUAGGUGUGAUCUUUCCAAUCACAAAACCACAGCAUCUAAGGCUCUAGUACACAAGGACUGAGAAUACUGUGAAUGUUACUUAGGAAACGGCUCAUUGGGUAAAGAGUUUUAUUCUUAGCACCCAGAUAUGGUGGCACACAUGGUGAUCCCAAUCCUGGGGUGCACAGAGGCAGGAGGAUACCUGGCACUCGCUGACUUGCAUCGAAGCAUAACUGACAAGCUCCAGAUCCUGUCUUAAAAAUAAAGUGGGUUCCCCAGCUCCGAAAAAAAGAACCAAAAAAAAAAAAAAAAAAUGAAGUGGGUUACUCCUGGGGGCUGACACUCAAAGUGGACUCCAGCCUACACACACACACACACACCCACACACACACACCACGCACACCACACACACACAUACAGUACACACACACUACACACCACGUACACUCUAUACACAUACACUUUACACACCACACACACAGUACACGCUCUACACACACUACACACCACACACACACAGAAAAACGUGUGAAAACUCUCCCUCCCCCCACAAAAUAUGUGCACACCCUCCCUGCUGACACCCUUACCUAGCUCCUCUAUUUGACAGAUUCUGUGAGGGGAACUCAAGCCUUUGCAAAGGGCUAACCACAUGGUCUCUCCCGAUAGCAUUCCAAGGUCGAGGUUGUAGAGUGUGAAGUGAAGGGCUGCUCAUUAAGUGGUCCUAAUAGAACAAUUAGACAUACAGAUUUGAUAAUUGGGGGUGAAGCCAGGGUACGCAGUGAGCAUUCUGUCCCCACGUAAACAAGUGUAUACUAUAUGACGAACUUAAGUUGGGAUACAGUCUCCUCUACUGAACCACUGUCACUUGUCAAACACUUGAUCUGAAAGACAGCCCAACCAAGGCUGGCAGCCUUCUUGAUCUGUGUGUAGAAAGCUAUCAGCUUUCAUAGUCAGGGGACCCUGAGAAUUCUACUUUUUAAAGGGCCACAGCUGGCAGUGGUGGUAGACGCUUGCACUCCCAGCACUCUCCAGGGAGACUUAGGUGGAUCUCUGUGAGUUCAAGGCCAACCUAAGCUACAUAGAGAUCCUAUCUCAAACAACAACAGACGGGCCUGGGAGAGGUCUCAGUGGGUUGAAGCAUCUGCCACACAAGCCUGGUAACCCGAGCUUCACCCACAUAGCACACACGGGGUAGAGAGGAAAAACCAGCUCCAUAAAGGUGUCCUCUACCCACUACACGUGCACUCCCCACAAGAAAAACAGAACAAAAAAGGUUCCCCAAUUUAAAUCGAUUUAUUUUCAUUUUGUGUGCAUGAGUGUUUGCCUGCAAGUACGUCUGUGCACUGCAUGUGUGCCUGGGGUCCGAGGAGGAGGCCAGAGAGAGUGCUGAACCCCUUGGCACUGGAGUUCCAGAUGAUCUGCCAAGUAGGUGCUGAGAGUUGAACCUGCGUCCUCUGAAAGGGCAGCAAAGCACUCUGGAGCCUUCUCUCUAGCUCCCCAACUGAAAUGAUAAAUUAGCUUGUUUAGUGUGUGUUGUGUGCAUGUCAUGGCCCAUGUGUGGACAAUGGAGUCAGCUUGGGCCUCCUACCAUGUGGGAGCCAUCCCUGGGCCCUCUGAGAUCCGUGCUCUGUGGAAUCUUCCUGGUUUUGUUGUUUGUUUUAGGUUUUUUCAAGGGUGGUGUAAGGGGCUGAGGAGAAGCAAUGGAAGCCUUGGAAGGUAAUAAGACAGAACUUCAACUUCUUUACCAGGGGAACUUUGCAAUCUAAAGGUUAGUGGAACUAUUCCCCUCCCUUAUUUUGCCCUGUCUGGUUUUGGUUUUUCUUGUUUGUUUCGUUUGUAGUUGUUUUGUUUUGGGUGGGGCAGGGGAAUCACAUUUAGUACCCAGUGUCACAUCUUUUGUAGCGUCUCAUCUGCUAGAUUUACCCAGAUUUCUCAUUUACUUCCUUCCCUCUCCUUCCUUCUCUCUUUGCGAUAAGAGUGUCCUGUAGACCAGGCUGGACCCAAAUCCAAUCUGAAACCCAAGAUGACCUCGACCUCCUGAUUCUGCUUUGCCUUCUGGAGAGCUGGGAUUGCAGGUGUGCACUCCCACCUCUGGCUGCUCGAGAGGUACCAGGGAGGUACCCCAUUAGAGCAAGCAGACGGGCAGGCAGGCAUUCUACCAGCUCGGCUACAGUCCAGCCCUGGCCUGCUGUGUUUUUAUUUUCAAACACUGUUUUCAUAUCUAGAAGGUUAGAACUGUGUGAGGGCACUCUCUAGGGUGUGUGUGGGCAGAGGAUAAGCUUAGGUGUUGUCUCAGAUGCUGUCCUAAGGCUGGUUGAGUACUUAGGCUGGCUGUCCAAAAAGGCGGGAUGUGUCUGUCUGUUUUUCUAGGGCUGCGACUACAGGUGUGAGGCGCUGAGCUUGGCUUUUUGGGAUGUUCAAGGAUGGAACUCGGGUCUGUGCUAACACUGGGUCUUUUUUUAACCUUCAUUUACUGUAUUUCAUUUCCCCUCUGUGGUCUUGGCCCUUUCUGUGGUGCUGCAGAUAGAAACCAAGACCUCAGGCUCGCUAUGCAUGCGCUGUCACUGAGCGCUAUCCCAGGCCUCUCCUCUAAGGUUUUAAGCUUAUGUAAAGUAGUGGUAACCAUUUCCCUCCACAAAGUCCGGCCGCCAUUUACUGCCUGCUCAUUAUGAGUGGCAUUUCUUGCUGCUUUGAUCUCUUUUCAGUCUUGACUGAAUGCCAGGCAAAUAUCUCUUUUUUUUUUUUUUUUUUUUUUUUGGUUUUUCAAGACAGUUUCUCAGUGUAGCCUUGGCUGUCCUGGAACUCUGUGGACCAGAGUGGCCUUGAACUGACAGAAAUCCUCCUGCCUCAGCUUCCUAAGUAGCUGGGACCACAGACAAGGGUGGACAUAGUAGGCCUCACAUCUGUGUAUGUUAAAUUUAUAUUACCAGGUGCUGAGUAUUUUUUUUAAUAAAAAACUAUUUUUGUGUAUGGGGCUUUUCCUGAAUUAUUUUGCCUGUUAUGAGUACCUAGUACUUCGAUCUGGUCCUUGGAAAUUGUGAGCCAUCAUGUGGGUGCUGAGAACUAAACCUGGGUCCUCUGCAAGAGCAGCCAGUGAGUGCUCCUUAAGAAGCCGCCUCUCCACCUAGGUGCGGGGCAUUCUUAUGUCCAUAUAGAUACCUUUCUGGUUUAGGAUGCAGUGGAAAAAAAAACCAUUUUUCUCCUUCUAAAUCUUGUGGGUUUCUUGUUUGUUUUUGUCUUUUAAGACAGUGUCCUGGAAUUCACUAUGUAGAUCAGGCUGGUCUUGAACUCACAGAGAUCUGCUUAUCUCUUUACUAGAGUGCUAGGAUUAAAGGCAUCCACCACCAUGCCUGCCUGCUUUUAAAUUUUGUUUGUUUUUGUUUUUUUGAGACAGGGUUUCUCUGGAACUCCAGCUGUUCUGGAACUCAUUGUGUAGACCAGGCUGGCCUCAACUCAGAGAUCCUCCCGGCUCUGUCUCCUGAGUUCUGAGUGGGAACUUCGAUGAAGCUUAGGAUGAUUUUUGAACUGAUCUUUCUAUGCACCUCCACCUCUGGGUUACAUGGUUCUGGGGAACUUUCCCGGAGCCUAGUGUACUAGUCAAUGCCUCUCCUGGGCCACAGUCCCAGUCCACGCUUCUUAAUUUUACUUUAUUAGUAUUUAUCUUAUUACCCUUAUUAAUAUUUAUUAAUAUAUGUUAAAUUUCAGUAGGGGACGGCUUGUGAAAGUCCACUGUCUUCUCUACUGUGUGGGUCCUGGGGAUUGGAAGCAGGAAGCUCGACCUGCUGAGCCAUCUUACCAGCCCCUCGUUAAUUUUCAAUAGAGGGUUAAUUUAAUUCCAGUCUAGACUGAGGCCCUUCUGCGUACUUAACUUGAUGCCCCAGGAACUACAUGAGUUAGGAGGGAGCUUCGUGUGCAGCUGGCUGUGGUCCUUUUGGCUGGUUCCUAAGACCUGUGGGUCACUAACGCUAGGGACUGAGUAGAGCAUUUGCCUAGAAUGAAUGCAUCAGGUAGGAGCUAAGGAGGGUCACGUCCAGUCCCCAGGAACUUCCUCUCCACCCCCACACCCUUAACUACCAGAAGAAAGAGGCAGUGCAAGUUUUCAGAGUGUGUUCUCUGUGCAGCACUUUCCUGCUGCCCCACUGUGUGCCAAGGCCUCACAGGAAGCUGGGCACUUAAAGGCUCAUCACUAACUUCCCCUCUCAGGGGUCAGAACUUUGUGCUGCCUCAGACCUAGUGGCUAAAGUCUACUGUUUCAUGUAUUAUGUUCAAAGAGGAAGAGCAUUACAUUAAUUAAUUUGUGCAUGCAUGUGUGCACGUGUGCGCAGCUAUGUGCAUGCCACACAAAGCAAAGGUCAGAGGACAGCUUCGGGGCGUCAGUUAUUUUUGUUCCAUGAGACAGAGGAGACAGAGCUCCCGUCUUCAGCUUGGCAGCCUAUACUGAGCUGCUAUGCUAGCUUUCCAAGCUUUAAUUGUUUCUUGUGUAGGUAGAUAAAGCCACCACCGCUCUGCAGUGUUUUAAAUGUGUUUAGUUUCUUAUCUAUCUUUGUGGGUGUGAGCAUGGGGGCCUGCAUUCCUGUGCCCAGAAACUAGGACAGCGGCUCUCUGCCGUUCCCACAUCCCAUCAUAUUUGAGAUGGGCUCUCGCACUAGAACUAGUUUGCCAUUUCAGCUGGGAUGCCUGGCCAGAGAGCUUCUGCACUGCCUUGGCCUCUCUCUGCCUCAGGAGCUUCUAGAUCUGCCUGCCUCCUCCCUGGCAUCCUUGGGGUUACAGGAACACAUAGCUACGCCCAGCAUUUUACUCCGCUGGUUUCAUCUAGACCUUCAUGUUUACACAGUGAGCUGACGAGAAUCUUCCUGGACUGACACCGGUAGCAGGGGUGGAAGAGAGGAGCUGUCUCCAGUGGAUGGAAGUCAGAACAGCUCCGAGGACACGGAGCAGGCAAGACUGUAGGUCACCCAGGCGGCAGGCACGGGCUGGUAAGCAGGACGACUCAUUGUCUCACUGUCCCUCCAGGUUAAUUCUGUUCCAGGGAGCGAGGGAUACCAGGCUUGGCCAACAGGGUACAAGCAGCGCUGUCCGCGGACCACUAAGGACAUCAAUACUCCAUAUCUAGUAGCUGGUCUUUCCCACCUCGUUCUACCUCAAGCACCAGAUUUCUUAUGAAAUAUGACCCCGUGAGUUAGAAAAGAACAUGACUGUGUGUUCAGUUGUAGUCUGUGGGAGAAGACAAACUAAACUGAAGUUGUCAGGGCAGGAGACAGGACUGGCAGGUGUGACGGUUUGAAGAAUGGCCCCACAGGCUCACCAGGGAGUGGCACUAUUUGAAAAAUGAUAAGGAUCAGGAGGGGUGGCCUUGUUUGAGGAAGUGUGUCACUGGGGUGGCCUGUGGACUGGGAUGUAUCUCAGCUCCGGCUCCAGCAUCACGUGGGCUGCAAUGCUCCUAGCCAAGAUGAUAAUGGACUAAGCCUCUGAAAUUGUAAGCAAGAAACUAAAUGCUUUCUUUAAUCCCAUGCAGCAGGGAGUCAGGCAGUGGCCAGCAGAUCGCUGAGUUCAAGACCAGCCUGGUUCAUAGAGUAAGUUCAAGGUCAGUCAGGGUUACACAGAGAAACCCUGCCGGGGGGCUCAGGUCGCCUUGGUUGGAGUUCUCACUGAUGGAACAGUGACAAGAGAGCAGGUGAAGUGCUUACCUACAGGACUAAUAUCCUGAGACUCAACCCACAGCUCUCAAGAAACUAGACAGAGCUGUGCACAUCUAGACUCCCACUGUCUCCCUGGGGAUGGCCAGAAGUUCAUGGCCAGCCAGUGAACUGAAAGAGACACUGUCUAAAACACAAUGCAAGUCAAGGCCUGACACCCAAGGUUAUCCUCUGGGACACAUAUUCAAAGACACAUAUGCAUCACACACACAAGGAGGAGGAGUCAGACUCAAUAUGCUUGCCUCCGGCUUUGCAGCUACUGUUCAGUUAAAGACAUACAUGUUCACUGUGUCACCAGCUAAUGGCCCAGCAGAAGGGGAACGUAGAAAAGGCUAAGACGGUGACUCUAACAGUGGGCAGGCAGAAACCUCUAAUGCCGUGUGGUUUGCAGGCCUUUUAAAUUACGUCUUGACCAGGCGUGGUGGCACACACACUAAUCCCAGUACCUGAGAGGCGGAGGCAGGAGGGCCACAGUAAGUUUCAGGCCAGCCUGGCCUGCAUAGUGAGUUCCGGGUUAGACAGGGAUCUAUAAUGAAACCUUGCCUCAAAAACAAUUUAGGCCCUCUGUGGUGACAUGCGCCUUUAAUCCCAGCUCUUAGGAAGCAGGCAGACCUCUGUGAGUUCACAGAGAGUUCCAGGGUAGCCAGGGCUACACAAAGACCCUGUCUUAAAAACAAAUAACAAAAUUAAUUUUAAAAAGCAAAAGGAAAUCCUGUCUGAAAUGAAGAGGGAGAGUAAUAAGGCUAAUAUACUAAGCACCACGUCAGCAAAACCAAAUGCACCCCACGUGGGCAGCAGAGAGGCCUCGCAGUCUAAGGAGCUAUAGGAGCAGGAUUGUGCAGAGGAUGGGGACCUACAGGAGACGGGGCUCAUUUGUUUUGGAGAAUGCUUUAAAUAUAAUAAAGGCAAUAAAUCUUACCUGCU